CUAAACGAGUGAGAGGCUAACAAACUGACAAAUGAUGUUUUUCAAAGGGAAGUAAAAUCAAGGACGGCAUGGGUUUUAAGAUAGUGAUUGGCAUAUACAUCUGACAAGAACAGCUUAGAUUUUACUGCUCUGCAGGUACCAGCCUACCACGGAAUAUGGCUACAAUGUUUGGUGAUUCCUGAUGGUCAAAUCGUAGCUUCUGCUUCGGAUGUCUUCCAACUCCAUCCCCAUCAAACACUGCAUUUGUCCAGUCCUAUCUAUCCCUUCCUCAAGGCAGCUCUCUCUGAAGAUGCCCCGCCCCCCAUCAGCAUGUCCUUCAUGUCUACAUCAACCCAAGCCUGGAGACUGGUGGCAUUUCGUACUCUGCACCCCUUGCUUCUCCACAUGACCUUGCUUCUGUACUUGUAAAAUAACUGCGAUCUGUCAGCCAGCUGUAUCACUCCAAGAUACCAAGAACUAUUAAAACAUGGUUAGCAAUCAUGUGCCUGUUGUGUUGGAGUCUUAUUGUACAGAAUCCGUGUAAUUGGUUUUUUCAGGGCUUCUUAAAUUUUUUUUUAUGUUCGUAAGUGCAAUUUACCUUUUGAUAUAAUAUUAUUUCUAUACCUUAAAAUUUCCCACUCAUGCUCAAAUACCAUAUAUUUAAACAUCUGGAGUCAAAUCAUAUAUAAUUUUUAGGUGUUGAGGCAACCAAAAAAAUUAAGUGUGAAUUUGAAUAAAAGAACUCAGUCAUCCUUAAAAUUCUUCUCUUAACUGGAAAGAAUGCUAAUGCGAUUUUAUGUGGAGUCUUGUCAAGUGCAUUCAAGAAAUGUCAAACUGUAUUUUUAGCCCUGGAGGUUGCUUAAUCCCAUAAGACUCUCUCUCUCCUUUGUGUUGACAAAAUGAACAGCACUGAACUAUCGGGGAUCUGAGCUUCUGUCAAGAUCCACUUCACAUCAAAAGUUACCGUUCCUGCACAGCUGUUUUCUCAAAACUUCUGAAUUACAAGCCGAGCUUCCCUACUUCCUAUGGCUCCCCUGGGCUUGCUUUGCAUGCUUCUGUUGUCAGCCCUUCAUUGACUCUAAACCUCACUUUUAUAGACAAGUCGAUGAAGUGUUGUGGACAUGGUAAGUGAUAGAAACAUCAGAGGAGAGGCGCCCGAUUAGUGUUCAUUGGCUGGGAAAAUACCACCCUUGCUCAUCUUCCACUGGCAUUUGCUCUCUUGUACCAUGUCUGGCCCCAAUCCUGCUUUCCUGCAUAGGAUUCUUCUAGAAUAGAUUAGUGUGUUAGCACAAUCAUCGUCUUAUUUUAGACUACUAAAAUAAGCAAGGCUCUGCAUACAUACAAGGAGACCACUCAAAUGAAGCUGCUGCUUUGGGGUCCGGUGUAGAUUUUACUUAGAACUCAGCACCCAGCAGGAAGAAAAUAGCAAAGUGGAGUUCUGUGGCAGCUAAAGCAGAAGGUCUCCACUCUGCAGCAAGGUUAUAUUUUGAACCUCUGCAUUUUCCAGCAGGAACAAUCAGUCAUUGAAAACAAAAGGGGAGACUGGCUUGCUCACAGUCACUGAAAGAAAAGUGGAGACUGGCUCGUCCGCUUGAGGCUUUCCCCGUUUGUUUGGUUUUUUUGUUUUGUUUUGUUUUGUUUUGUUUUGUUUUGUUUUUGUUUUUGUUUUAAGACACACCUGAGCUGCACCUCAGAGAGUAUGAACACUUCCCCAUGCAUCUUCAUCACUAUACAUAAUUCAUGGAACCUACAUCUCAAUACCUGUGAGCAGAGAAGUUUCUGGCAAGUGACAUAACACUACCAUCCGGUAUAUUUAUAAUUUAGAGUGACCUACUUAGAGCUGACCUCAUUUGAAGAAAAAGCUUGCUAUGUAAAAUAGUGAAAAUACUGUCUUGAUAUCAAUUCAUGUCUGGCUGAGCUACAGUGCAUUGGGACCAAAAAAAAAGAAAAAAAAAAGAGGUUGUUAAAAUUAGCAAAUUGUCUUCAUUCAGAAAAUGCAAAUUGUGAGUCAUAUUUUAAGAUGUUCUCAUUUAUGAAACAUUGUAAUUUUUUAAAUUAAGUAACACCAAUAGUAUUAGCAGCCAUAAUUUCGCAAGAUUUAUCUUUUACCUCACAGCAGUUAACAGCCAUAUUACCUAAGUAAUAAUUACUGGAAAUCGGCCUCCCCUGGGUGAGUGGCAGCGAUACUUACUAACACUGAAUGAGAGAUGCAGAAUGAAAUUACACCCCAUGGGGAGCUGAAAGAGCAGGUCACCCAGUGGGAGUAUAGAUGGGAAGGAAGUUUAUGUAGGUGAUACCAUAUUACAAAUGGGUGCAAUUAUAAAAUGACUGCUCUCCAAUGACAUUGCAUUAUAAUAGCAAAAUUACAAAGUGACCCUUUGUGGUGUCCUAUGAGAUAGAUAGGAGGCCGUUACAGUGUUUGCCCUCACAACUAAAGAAAGGAAUAGUCCUGAGUAAUUGUAUCAAAAUCCUGGUUUCAGUGAUACUUGCUAGCAUUUCAUCAGGACUGGUAUGAUUGGUGCAGAAUCCAUUCUACUCAAAGGAUCCCCAGAAGUGAACCAGAGAAGCAUCACACUUAAAACCAUGCCAAUCCAGGUUGAGGAAAGCCCAAGAGGCCUCCAUUCUACACAAAGACAUAUAGACAACUGAGGAAAGGUAGGAGCAGAGAGACAGGCUUCAUGAGAGAAGAACAUCGACAUCUUAAUAUGUAUAUUCAUUUAAUAACUGCACCAUGCAUGUUCAUCAAGAAUCCAUCUGCACGCUGUUCCUGAGAAGAUACCAAAGCUAGCUAGUCAGUAACUACAGCAGGAGCUUGAGGCAUCUCUGCACUCAUGCUGGCAACAAGGAGCCUGGCCACCAAAACAUGCAUUUCAUUAACACUCAAGUAAGCGUUAUUAUGAACAUGAUUUUUGCCCAUUUGAGCCAUAUAUGUUUGGGCGGCAUAAGUGCUAAGCGGUGUAAGAGUUCCCAGUUCUUGUCUCUCCUGAAUUGUACUGGCUUAGGCAGCACUAACCCUGUAGAGGAAGAACACUUUUACACAGUAUAACAGAUGUUCCGAAGUAACGGUGGCCUUGUUAAAGGAAGUACGUCACUGGGGGCGGAGCUGGGAGAGUUUUAAGACUUGUAUCAUUUUCAGUAAGCUUUAUGCUUACUGGAAGGGAUGUGAGCUCUCAGCAUCCUGCUCUCGGUACCGCUCCUGCUGUCUGUCCCCACACUCUUUGCCAUGACGGACUCAUCCCCUCUGGAACGGUAAACCCAAACCAUCCUUUCUUCCUGUAAAUUACAUCGGUCAUGGUGUUUGACUGCAGGAACAGGAAGUAACUAAUACAGCUACCAUGAACCGCUUUCGGAGGAGGAUUUGAUGGGACCUAAAUCUGGAAAACCAACCUGGAAGAAAUAGACUAGCAAAUGUUCAGCAUCCAUGCCAUGAAGACUCUGAAGUCUUGGGAUUAUAAAGCUACAUAAAGCAACCGUCAUCCUAGAGGCCCACUACUGGUACUUUGCUAGGGUAUCCGGUAACUGCGGCAUCUCCUACGUGCAUCACGUUUCCUGGAAUCCCAUCUAGCCCCUGCAUGGCAGACAUCCCAUACUGGCAGGCUUCUGUGCAUAGGUGAAGAGGAACAAGCAACCUGCAGGCCUCUUAAUGGAAGAGCAGGCAGACACAUCUGUGAGACUACUAUGGAAUGGAUCCAACAAGAAACAAACCAGGAGGAUGGUAAGGUCACUCAGAGGUCAAAGAAAUUGCCACAUCUUUAGAAGACCUGAGUUUAGUUCCCAGUACCCACAGUGUGGCUCAUCUGUGACUCCAGUUCCAAGGGAUGUGACAGCUUCCUCUGACCUCCAAGGGCACCAGUCACACAUGUGGUGUGCAUACAUAUAUGCAGAUCCGCCUGGCCUAAAUGACAACUGAAUAUGCAACUCUGGAAAUUACUGUUUCUCCUAGGAAGCCACUGUCACUUAUUAAAUCGUCACAACAGAUUAAGAACGGUGAUGCCUGAAGGAUGGUUUGAACAGAACACAGCUCUGCAGUCCAGUAAGCUUCUCCCUACCGGAAGUCUCACAAGUGAAAAUGAUGGCCUCUCUCCAGAUUCCACGUCAAGCACACAGUUAAUCUCGGCGUCACUAUUCAUAUAUCUUCUGGGCAGGUGUCUAAGCAAGAACGGUUUGGAACUGCUUAAUUGGCACACACGGUAUCCUAACCUUCUCUUCUGGCUCAGGUCUAUGCAUCAAAGAAACGACUGAAGUGGACUUCAUCUUCUGUUUUAAUUGAUAUCUUCAAAAAAAAAAUGACAGCAGUGUUUAUUUGAUGUUGCACUAGACUAGUAAGUAGUUAUGACUCCUUGCCUGUAUCAUGUUGGCCUCAAAGAGACUCAAAUGCUUCACAGAGCCACUCAGUAGACUGCAGAAGAGCAGGGCAUUGGACCAGGGUCUAGAAUAAAACUUAGUAUAUUUCAGCAGCCAGGGAGAAAAGUUAGUUAGUUCAUUAUUUUCUAUCAGCUUUCAGACAAAUAAAACCAGAGAAGGUUAUCGUAUGUGUAGUUUUAAUGAACUCUUCUUUGUGACUGUAGGUAUGGCUCAAUGGCGGUACAUUUACUUGGCUUGCUUGGGUCUCUAGGUUUGACUGCCAACACCAAAUACAGAAGAAGGUAGAGGACAAAGAGGAGAAGGAAGACGGGGUAAUUAAAUCAAAAGACAGAAGGAGAAAGAGAGAGAAAAGUCUCUUAACCAGUUCUCCUCAUAAUUCACUCAAAUACACUUGCAACCUGAUGUAAUAGCUUUUAUAAGGCAAUAACAACAAAACCUAAGCACAAAAUACUUGGUUGCUAUAAAUUUCCUUUUGAUGUUUAUAGAACAUUUAACCACAAGUGCAGCAUACUUUAUGAACAUA